rnacentral:rRNA from 1 species
GAUGAACGCUGGCGGCGUGCCUAAUACAUGCAAGUCGAACGAACAGACGAGGAUCUUGCUCCUCUCACGUUAGCGGCGGACGGGAGAGUAACACGUGUAUAACCUACCUAAAUGACUGGUAUAACUUCGGAAAACCGGAGCUAAUACCGGAUAACAUGCUGAACCGCAUGGGUCAACAGUGAAAGACGGUGUUGCUGUCACGUAUAGAUGGAUCUGGGUCGCAUUAGCUAGUUGGUAAGGAAACGGCUUACCAAGGCAAGUAGGCGUAUCCGACCUGAGAGGGUGAUCGCCCACCCUGGAGCUGAGCCACCGUCAAGGCGACUACGGGAGGCAGCAGAAGGGAACGUUCCGCAAUGGUCGAAAGCCUUGCGGAGCAAGCGCGCGUGAGUUAAGACGGUCUUGGGAUCGGGAAAAUCUGUUUUUAGGUAAGAACCAAUGUGUCAGGAACCAUACCCGGCUUGACGGUAAUUAAUCAGAAAGCCCCGGCUAACUACGUG